rnacentral:rRNA from 1 species
UACGUAGGGUGCAGGCGUUAAUCGGAAUUACUGGGCGUAAAGCGUGCGCAGGCGGUCUGCUAAGACCGGUGUGAAAUCCCCGGGCUUAACCUGGGAACUGCGCUUGUUACUGGCAGGCUGGAGUGUGGCAGAGGGGGGUGGAAUUCCACGUGUAGCAGUGAAAUGCGUAGAGAUGUGGAGGAACACCGAUGGCGAAGGCAGCCCCCUGGGCUAACACUGACGCUCAUGCACGAAAGCGUGGGGAGCAAACAGG